rnacentral:rRNA from 1 species
GAUGAACGCUGGCGGCGUGCCUAAUACAUGCAAGUCGAGCGAACAGACGAGGAGCUUGCUCCUCUGACGUUAGCGGCGGACGGGUGAGUAACACGUGGAUAACCUACCUAUAAGACUGGGAUAACUUCGGGAAACCGGAGCUAAUACCGGAUAAUAUAUUGAACCGCAUGGUUCAAUAGUGAAAGACGGUUUUGCUGUCACUUAUAGAUGGAUCCGCGCCGCAUUAGCUAGUUGGUAAGGUAACGGCUUACCAAGGCAACGAUGCGUAGCCGACCUGAGAGGGUGAUCGACCACACUGGAACUGAGACACGGUCCAGACUCCUACGGGAGGCAGCAGUAGGGAAUCUUCCGCAAUGGGCGAAAGCCUGACGGAGCAACGACGCGUGAGUGAUGAAGGUCUUCGGAUCGUAAAACUCUGUUAUUAGGGAAGAACAAAUGUGUAAGUAACUAUGCACGUCUUGACGGUACCUAAUCAGAAAGCCACGGCUAACUACGUG